rnacentral:rRNA from 1 species
CUUGACGGAUUUCUUCGGAUUGAAGCCUUGGUGACUGAGCGGCGGACGGGUGAGUAACGCGUGGGUAACCUGCCUCAUACAGGGGGAUAACAGUUGGAAACGGCUGCUAAUACCGCAUAAGCGCACAGUACCGCAUGGUACGGUGUGAAAAACUCCGGUGGUAUGAGAUGGACCCGCGUCUGAUUAGGUAGUUGGUGAGGUAACGGCCUACCAAGCCGACGAUCAGUAGCCGACCUGAGAGGGUGACCGGCCACAUUGGGACUGAGACACGGCCCAAACUCCUACGGGAGGCAGCAGUGGGGAAUAUUGCACAAUGGGGGAAACCCUGAUGCAGCGACGCCGCGUGAGCGAUGAAGUAUUUCGGUAUGUAAAGCUCUAUCAGCAGGGAAGAAAAUGACGGUACCUGACUAAGAAGCCCCGGCUAACUACGUGCCAGCAGCCGCGGUAAUACGUAGGGGGCAAGCGUUAUCCGGAUUUACUGGGUGUAAAGGGAGCGUAGACGGCAUGGCAAGCCAGAUGUGAAAGCCCGGGGCUCAACCCCGGGACUGCAUUUGGAACUGUCAGGCUAGAGUGUCGGAGAGGAAAGCGGAAUUCCUAGUGUAGCGGUGAAAUGCGUAGAUAUUAGGAGGAACACCAGUGGCGAAGG